rnacentral:rRNA from 1 species
AUGGCGGCGUUGCCGGAUCUGGGCCCAACGGGCCUCAAGAACAAGCCCCGCGUGGUGGUGCUCGGCUCCGGGCGGGCGGCGUGCCGGUUCCUCAAGGAUGUUGACACCUCCGUCUACAACGUGGUGUGCGUGUCCCCGAGGAACCACAUGGUGUUCACGCCGCUGCUUGCGUCGACGUACGUCGGCACGCUGGAGUUCCGGUCCGUGGUGGAGCCCGUCAGCCGCAUCCAGCCGGCGCUCGCCACCCGCCUCGGAUCAUACUUCUUCCUGGCCAACUGCACCGACAUCGACACGCGGAAGCACGAGGUGUACUGCACGGUGGCGGCCGGAGACGAGCAGCUGCCCACCAACCCCUACCGCUUCAGGGUGGCCUACGACAAGCUUGUGAUCGCCAGCGGCGCCGAGCCGCUCACCUUCAACAUCAAGGGCGUCCAAGAGAACGCAAUCUUCCUCCGCGAGGUGAACGAGGCGCAGCAGAUCAGGCGCAAGCUCCUCACCAACCUCAUGCUGUUAGCUCCCCAUCAUUGCUUGUGA